rnacentral:rRNA from 1 species
UACGUAGGGUGCAAGCGUUAAUCGGAAUUACUGGGCGUAAAGCGUGCGCAGGCGGUUUUGCAAGACCGAUGUGAAAUCCCCGGGCUCAACCUGGGAACUGCAUUUGUGACUGCAUAGCUGGAGUGCGGCAGAGGGGGAUGGAAUUCCGCGUGUAGCAGUGAAAUGCGUAGAUAUGCGGAGGAACACCGAUGGCGAAGGCAAUCCCCUGGGCCUGCACUGACGCUCAUGCACGAAAGCGUGGGGAGCAAACAGG